AACCCAUGUGAACCAUACCAAACUGUUGCCUCGGCGGGGUCACGCCCCGGGUGCGUCGCAGCCCCGGAACCAGGCGCCCGCCGGAGGGACCAACCAAACUCUUUCUGUAGUCCCCUCGCGGACGUUAUUUCUUACAGCUCUGAGCAAAAAUUCAAAAUGAAUCAAAACUUUCAACAACGGAUCUCUUGGUUCUGGCAUCGAUGAAGAACGCAGCGAAAUGCGAUAAGUAAUGUGAAUUGCAGAAUUCAGUGAAUCAUCGAAUCUUUGAACGCACAUUGCGCCCGCCAGUAUUCUGGCGGGCAUGCCUGUCCGAGCGUCAUUUCAACCCUCGAACCCCUCCGGGGGGUCGGCGUUGGGGAUCGGGAACCCCUAAGACGGGAUCCCGGCCCCGAAAUACAGUGGCGGUCUCGCCGCAGCCUCUCCUGCGCAGUAGUUUGCACAACUCGCACCGGGAGCGCGGCGCGUCCACGUCCGUAAAACACCCAACUUCUGAAAUGUUGACCUCGGAUCAGGUAGGAAUACCCGCUGAACUUAAGCAUAUCAAANNGGGGAGGGGAAAUNNUACCAAGUUUACAAACUCCAAAACAAUGUUCAACCCUCCAACUGUAGCCCCGUGGUGGCAUCCCUGGUGUCUCCAUCCCGGAACAGGCACCGCCGGAGGGACCACAAACUCUAUCUGUAGUCCUGAGGACGUUAUUUCUUACAGCUCUGAUCAAAAAUUCAAAAGAAAUCACAACUCUUCAAGAGNNAACUUCGUGGUUCUCGCCUCACUCAAAGAACACACGAAAUCGCGAGAGAGUAUGUGUGAUUGAAAAGUUCAUUGUAAUCAUCUACAUCUAUGAACGCACAUUGUCCCCGCCCUUAUCUUGGACGGGNAUGUCUGAUCGCUAGCGCCUUUUACCACGCGCAACCUUCGGGGGCUUCGUUGU
rnacentral:rRNA from 1 species